rnacentral:lncRNA from 1 species
GGUAGAUGUGAACACUGACCGGAGGAUCAGCGCUAAGGAGAUGCAGCACUGGAUUAUGGAGAAAACAGCAGAGCACUUCCAGGAGGCUGUCAAGGAGAACAAACUACACUUCAGGGCUGUGGACCCCGAUGGUGAUGGCCAUGUGUCCUGGGAUGAAUAUAAAGUGAAGUUUUUGGCAAGCAAAGGCCACAAUGAAAGGGAGAUUGCCGAUGCCAUCAAGAAUCACGAGGAGCUCAAAGUGGAUGAGGAGAGCUGGCCUCAAACUCAGAGACUGAUCUGCUUGAGUGCUGGGAGUCAAGGCAUGUGCACCACUAUCUAGCCUUUUGUUUUGUUUUGUUUUGUUUUUGGACAAGAUAUCACACUGUAGGUGAGGUUGGCCUUGAAUUUGUUGCAGUUUUCCUGCCUCGGCUUCUCCAGUACUGGGAUUGUUGGUGAGAGGAACCCUAAAUGACCAAGUUCUAUCCUUUCUUAAAUUUCCUCAAUUAUUCUCUUCCUAAAGCAGUUGUCUGCUUUCCCCUCCCCUUAUUGUGUUUUGGGUUUCCAUUAGUUGUCCUUCAUUUCCUGCUGCUUACUGGAGGGUCUUGAGGGCCCUUGUCCUGUUCUUCUGGUGAGACUAGUAUGAGCCUGUCCAGGAUGUUGUCAGUUUCAAAGAUGCUUCUCAGAGCUUCAGGAAGCUUGGUGCCCUCACAGCAGUCCCUCUGUGACUUCUUUGGGAUGUAGUCUCACUCUGGCCCUUUUACUUUGGUGAUGAACAGUGAUGUGGGAAUAAACCCUUAACAAACCCUUU